rnacentral:rRNA from 1 species
GACGUAGGGCGCGAGCGUUGUCCGGAUUUAUUGGGCGUAAAGAGCUCGUAGGCGGCUUGUCACGUCGGGGGUGAAAGCCCGGGGCUUAACCCCGGGUCUGCAUUCGAUACGGGCUAGCUAGAGUGUGGUAGGGGAGAUCGGAAUUCCUGGUGUAGCGGUGAAAUGCGCAGAUAUCAGGAGGAACACCGGUGGCGAAGGCGGCCUGCUGGGCAGUUGCUGACACUGAGGCGCGACAGCGUGGGGAGCAAACAGG